UUAAAAUAUCUUCUCACCUCUGGAAGUCAGUUUCCUCCUCUGUAAAAAUGAGAAAUCUUGGAUUCACAGCUGGAAGUGGCCUUAAAGAUCAUCAAGCUCAACCCCUUAAUUUUACAGAUUAAGAAACUGAGGCACCGAGAGGAAGAACGAUUUGCCCCAGAUUGCCGGGGGAGUAAGAGAACCCAAAUCUUUGGAUUCUAACUGACUGAUGAAGCCAUCCAUACUAGAUCAUCUCAAAGGUCCUUUCCAGCUCCAAGACCACAAUUCCUCCCUUUAAAGAGUCUCCCCAGCACAGAUCCUGUUGGCCUGGCUUCAAGGCUAGUGAUGGUCUCAGCCAGCCCCAGCAUUCGGCAGCUGGGAGGCCAAGCUCCUAGCCUGGCUGGAUUUCCUAAAGGCAACAAGGUUGUACAGUGGUUAGAGCACCUGGCAUGGCAUCAGAUAGACCCAUAUUCCAAUUUGGAAGGAGAACAAUACAAAAGAUGAGGAAAUUGAGGCACACAGAGAUGAAGUGACAUGCUCAGGAUCAAUAUCUAAGGUUUGUUCCUAGUGCUCAGCAGGAUUCAGAACGCUUGGAAUGGCCAAGCGAUCUAUGGUCCAGGAGUGCAUUGGAAUAUUAUUAUUCAGGAAGAAAUGAUGAAUAUGAAGACUUCUGAAAAAUCCAUAUGAAUGGAAGCAGAGCAGCAAAAGAUCAAUGUUUACAACAACACAAAUUAAAAGAUCACUGAAUGGAAGCCAGAUUCACAGCAAUUGAAAAACCAGUCUGAGGUUGCUGAGGACAGAAAAUGAAAGAUCCUCCCACCUUCCCAUGGAGAAGCAGUGGUUAAUGAGGACAGACUGUUCCGUACAUCACCAGAUACAAUUCUAGUAUUAGAAAUGUUUGCUCAACUAGUUUUCCUUGCUUCAAAGAGGGGCUCAAUUUGGAGACAGAUGGAGCAGUUCCAGAAAUUUCUAUAAUGCAAAAAUAAAAAGAAUUGAUAAAAUUUGUUUUUUUUAAGA
rnacentral:lncRNA from 1 species